GCACUGCUGAGGAGUCCCACAAUAGGAUGAAACGACCGUCCUGUGU
rnacentral:hammerhead_ribozyme from 1 species